GGAACUUCAGCAAGCCUGCAAGGAAUUUGGUCUAAGCGAGCUCAAUCUUGAUGAAAUAAUUAAAGAUAUUGAUCAAGAUAAUGAUGGACAGAUAGACUAUGGGGAAUUUUCUGCAAUGAUGAGGAAAGGCACCGGCGGAGGCGUUGGAAGGAGGACCAUAAGAAACACAUUGAAUUUAGGAGAAGCACUUGGACUUGUACAGAGUGAAGAAAACGUAUGACCAACAAACGCGAUGUUUCUAAUUUCUUUUUGCCAUGAAGGUCCAAUUAUAUGACAUUUACUGCUACAAGGGUUAGGUGUUGAACUUGAUCCCUUUCCUUGCUUUAUUGACGACUGUUUUUUUUACCUUUAUUUGUCUAAGCUUAGAACAAUUU
rnacentral:misc_RNA from 1 species